GAUGAACGCUAGCUACAGGCUUAACACAUGCAAGUUGCGGGGCAGCAUGUCGGUUGCUUGCAACCGAUGAUGGCGACCGGCGCACGGGUGAGUAACGCGUAUCCAACCUGCCCUUCACCACGGAAUAAUCCAGUGAAAAUUGGUCUAAUACCGUAUGAGGUCAUACGAUGGCAUCAGAAUAUGACGAAAGGUUUAGCGGUGAAGGAUGGGGAUGCGUCUGAUUAGCUUGUUGGUGAGGUAACGGCUCACCAAGGCGACGAUCAGUAGGGGUUCUGAGAGGAAGGUCCCCCACAUUGGAACUGAGACACGGUCCAAACUCCUACGGGAGGCAGCAGUGAGGAAUAUUGGUCAAUGGGCGAGAGCCUGAACCAGCCAAGUAGCGUGCAGGAAGACGGCCCUAUGGGUUGUAAACUGCUUUUAUAUGGGGAUAAAGUGAGAGUCGUGACUCUUUUUGCAUGUACCUUAUGAAUAAGGACCGGCUAAUU
rnacentral:rRNA from 1 species